rnacentral:rRNA from 1 species
GACGAACGCUGGCGGCGUGCUUAACACAUGCAAGUCGAACGGAAGGGCCCUGCUUUUGUGGGGUGCUCGAGUGGCGAACGGGUGAGUAACACGUGAGUAACCUGCCCUUGACUUUGGGAUAACUUCAGGAAACUGGGGCUAAUACCGGAUAGGAGCUCCUGCUGCAUGGUGGGGGUUGGAAAGUUUCGGCGGUUGGGGAUGGACUCGCGGCUUAUCAGCUUGUUGGUGGGGUAGUGGCUUACCAAGGCUUUGACGGGUAGCCGGCCUGAGAGGGUGACCGGCCACAUUGGAACUGAGAUACGGCCCAGACUCCUACGGGAGGCAGCAGUGGGGAAUAUUGCACAAUGGGCGGAAGCCUGAUGCAGCAACGCCGCGUGCGGGAUGACGGCCUUCGGGUUGUAAACCGCUUUCGCCUGUGACGAAGCGUGAGUGACGGUAAUGGGUAAAGAAGCACCGGCUAACUACGUG